rnacentral:rRNA from 1 species
AUGUGUUUUCGUUUGAAUGAGGAUGGUGGGCAUUGCUUCAUUAAGUGUAAGAGGGUUAAGGAAGUUUGGAGGAAAGCUCGGUUGGAGCAUGUCAGAUUGCAAAUUAUAAAUUGUACUGAUGCUUUCGGCUGUAUGGAGAAAAUUUUGAACCUCAAUGAUGAAGAAAAAAUUAAAUCAUGCCUGCUCCUUUGGUGUUGGUGGCGUGAAAGGAAUAGUGCAAAUGCGGGAAAUGAAAUCAAACCUUCUGAUGAAAUCUGUCAUUCUAUUGACUAUCUUUGUAUGCAAUUUUCGAAGGUAAAGAAAGAAGGGAGAAUACAUGAACAUCAGCAGAAGGAAAGAUGGUCCAGACCUCCACCGGAAAUCUUGAAAAUCAACACUGAUGGUGCCUUCCUGAAGGAAUCAAAUUCUGGAGGUUGGGGCUUUGUUAUCAAGAACAAUUCUGGUACGGUAAUAGCAGCUGGGGCAGGGAAUUUGGAGCAAGUCUCGGAUGCCCUUCAUUCGGAGGCGUUGGCAAUGUUGCAUGCUGUUAACACAGCCAUCCAGAUGGGUUGCCAUCGAGUGAUUGUCGAAACUAACUCUGUGCAACUGAAGAUAGCGGUGAGCAAUGAAGACUAUGAUCUUUCUGCAUUAGGAGCUAUCUUCAAAGAUAUUAAGUUUCAACUGAGAGUGGGUUUCAAUGAUGUAACUGUUGUAUCUUGUCCUCGGACUUGUAAUUUAGUUGCGCAUUGUUUAGCUGCGUAUGGUACUAAAUUAGAAGCUGGAAAAUGCGAGAUUUGGCUCGGCUAGUACCCAGAACUUGUAAAGGAUGUUGUUGCUAGCGACUUGUCCAGCCCUUGUACUUAA